UACGAAGGGGGCUAGCGUUGCUCGGAAUCACUGGGCGUAAAGAGUGCGUAGGCGGCGCGGUAAGUCGGGUGUGAAAUCUCGGAGCUUAACUCCGAAACUGCAUUCGAUACUGCCGUGCUUGAGGACUGGAGAGGAGACUGGAAUUUACGGUGUAGCGGUGAAAUGCGUAGAUAUCGUAAGGAAGACCAGUGGCGAAGGCGGGUCUCUGGACAGUUCCUGACGCUGAGGCACGAAGGCCAGGGGAGCAAACGGG
rnacentral:rRNA from 1 species